rnacentral:other from 1 species
CGCACCCUGCGCGGUUCGAUUUGUUGCGGCUUUAUAUGAUCCUACUAAUCAAAUAUAGGGAGCCCGGAAAAGUCCUCUGCCGGAUCGCAGACCUCCCGCCCCGCUUCGGCGGCCAGCGGAAGAAGGGAGUGUGAACGCAGCGGCAGGGCACCCACCUGCUCAUAACAGUAGGUUUUGAUUGGUCGCAGACGGCUGUGCGGGGUAUAU